UAGUCUGGGAAACUGCCUGAUGGAGGGGGAUAACUACUGGAAACGGGAGCUAAUACCGCAUAACGUCGCAAGACCAAAUGGGGGACCUUCGGGCCUCAUGCCAUCAGAUGUGCCCAGAUGGGAUUAGCUAGUAGGUGGGGUAAAGGCUCACCUAGGCGACGAUCUCUAGCUGGUCUGAGAGGAUGAUCAGCCACACUGGGACUGAGACACGGCCCAG
rnacentral:rRNA from 1 species